GAGGAGGCCCCAGCACCAUUGGCGGCCUGAGCCCUGCAAGGGUGUGGCCAGGAGCCACCCCCACCCCCGCACCUGACUUCACACACAUACCUGCCUUCAGCGCCCGCCCCAGAGCUCCCACGCCCCUGCCCGCCACAUCUGCAGUGCCGCACACAGACAGGAGACCAGCAUUACAGCAACAACCGAGGGGCCACUGCCUGAUGAAUUGCCAGAGGGGAACCACCAGCUCGGCUUUUAAUAACCGGAUCUGCAUCCUGCUGCUGCCCAGCUGGGCUGAGGGCCCUGACCACAGCUAAGGGGAGUCAUCACAGGGCUUCAGGGCUGGAAUUCCAGGUUUCUGCAAGAAUGACGGGCAGCAUGAUGCUCAGCUGCAUGUGGAGGCACUGAGGCUGGACGAACCCUUGGGACGGGCAGCCCAGCGGGUGGGUGAGGCCAUCUUCCCCAUCUACCCGAGGCCGGACCAACCCCGCAUGAACCCAAAGGCUCAGGAUCACGAGGACCUGUACCGCUACUGUGGCAACCUGGCUCUGCUCCGGGCUAGCACGGACCCCACAGCCCGACACUGUGGGAGCCUGGCCUACAGUGUGGCCUUCCAUGUCCACCGGGGCUCUCAGCCUCCAGUCUCAGACAGCCCUCCCGGGGCUGGCCAGCCAGAACUGAUGUCACCAUGCCCAGAGCCCCAGCUCCCCAUACUGCAGAUUUUGUGGGAGGCCCCGAGUGACCAGGGGACAGAAGCCUCCUCUGUGUGCCCACCCUCAAGCCCAUCCAGCAUCCACCCUGACCAGGAGGGGCUCAACCCCAACCCAGGACCCAGAACUGAUGAUGGUCAUGGGGGGCAGUGGAGCAGGGGCAGGAGAGCAGGAUGAGCAGGAAUGCAAUAAUCAAGAUGAUCCAGAAUGAGAAGGAAGCAGAAGACAAGGCUCAGUGUGAGACCAGGGUCGGGGCUCAGCAAACUUCCACGACUGGCUUUGAAUCAGAAUCAUUUUGCUUCUCAGCCACGGCCCAUGGGUUACACAGCCUUAAAUGGCCCUGCCAAUGCUGGUCACAGCAUUCCCUAGUCCUGGAGACUCGGGAACUAAAACAAUCAAUUCCCCUGAGCAAUAAAAUUAUGGACAAUGAACACCUUCCCUUCUCCAGUCCCCAAGCUUCCUGCUCUGUGUGGGUGGGGAGGUGAUGGUGGGAGGGACUGUCCUCCAUGAAUAUUUCCAGCAUGCACAAUCACAGGCUCCAAGAUAGAGGUCACUCCCUGAGCCCUUGACCCAAGGAUGGGGAUGCUGGGAGCAUGCAGGCAGGGGCUGCAGAGGGAAUUUACCCACCUGGAGGGCUAACUAUUUCCAGGUUCCUGCCAGCCAGAGCAGCAGCCCUUCCCAGAGGCUCAGCGUGCUUCCUUUCUGGGUAGAGCUCCACUAGACUCGUCCCACCCCCUCAGCGCUGCCUCCUGUCGCCUCUUGGCAGGUUUGAGACCAUAGAGCUAUGCCACUCCAGCUCCCAGAGCCUCUCCUUCCCCGGGGUAAGGGGGAGUUCAUCAGACCAGAUGAGGGUGGCCUGUUCAGUGCUGGACAGAGCACCCCGGGGUGAGGAAAGCAGCAAGGUGCAACCCAAAGCCGGCAAAAAGACCAUCAGAUGUGACUCUGCUGGACAUUUUUACGGGAAAAUGAUGACUCUUGGAGGGCUGGGAAGGGCGGGGGAGACCACAACAGCUGUGGGCCUGGGGCUGGGCUCUCAGAGGCCACAACGCUUCUGGUACCUCACUGCCCUCUCCAAGAGAUCCCUGAAAGUCUACUGACGAUCUCCCACUGGCAUAGCUGUUCAAGAGGGAAACUGGAAAUUCCCAGGGAUGAAAUUUCUGGAAACGCAAAUUUUAAGGUUCCUUGUUUGUAGCUCUGGGAGCCAUCCUGGGGGCUCCCUCGCUAGAAGGCCGGGAACUCCCUCCCACACAGCUCUGAGCUCUGGAAGGAGAAGGAGGGGUGCACUGGGCUCCCUCCCCCAGCAUUUACCUCUUCCCAACAAUCACAGUUUUGUUUCAUAGAAACGAUUUCGUUUCCCAGGAGCCUUUUAAAUGACACUUUCAAGGUUGUUUUUUUUUUUCUUUUUCUUUUCUUUUUUUUUUAAUUCCUUCCGUUUAAAACACCUUUUUUCCCCCCAAGGGGAAAAAAGGAGAAGAAAAGCUAAUAAAGCAAUCACCAAACGC